AGCUAGAUCGACAAGCUCAGGUUCGACGUGGUGGGAUGCUUUACACAUGCAAGUCGAGCGGCAGCACGGACUUCGGUCUGGUGGCGAGUGGCGAACGGGUGAGUAAUGUAUCGGAACGUGCCCUAAUGGCGGGAUAACUACGCGGACGCGGGCGACCACCUUACGCCCUUCAGGGAAAGCAGGGGACGCCGGGCCUCUCCGCACUAUUAGAACGGCCGAUAUCGGAUUAGCUGGUUGGUGGGGUAACGGCUCACCAAGGCGACGAUCCGUAGCUGGUUUGAGGAGGACGACCAGCCACACUGGGACUGAGACCUGGCCCAGACUCCUACAGGAGGCAGCAGUGGGGAAUUUUGGACAAUGGAAACCACAGUCAGCCAUCCCGUAUUACGAUGAGGACCAUUAAGAGGUUGCCAAAGCGCUGGCAGAAGAAACAGCGCGGGAUAAUACCCCGUGCAACUGACAAUACCACAGAAUAAGCACCGGCUAACUACGGCUGCCAGCAGCCGCGGUGUGUACGUAGGGAUACAGGCGUAAUCGGAAUUACUGGGUAAGGCGACGUGCGCAGGCAGUUCGGAAAGAAAGAUGUGAAAUCCAGAGCUUAACUUUGGAACUGCAUUUUUAACUACCGAUUAAAGUGUCAGAGGGAGGGGUGGAAUUCCGCGUGUGGGCAAGGUGCGUAGAUAUGCGGAGGAGGAACUUGCCGAUAGCGAAGGCGGCCUCGCAGGAUAUGAACGACUCCAUGCACGAAAGCGUGGGGAGCAAACAGGAUUAGAUACCGUGGUGACAGUCCGCCUAAACAAUCAAGCUAAAGCAUCCCCAGGGCCUUCGGGCAUGGGCCAAAAGCGCAAUAACGCGUGAAGUUGACCGCCUGGGGAGUACGGUCGCAAGAUUAAAACUCAAAGAUUGACGGGGACCCGCACAAGCGGUGGAUGAUGUGGAUUAAUUCGAUGCAACGCGAAAAACCUUACCUAUGUAUGACAUGUCUGGAAUCCCGAAGAGAUUGGGAGUGCUCGCAAAGGAACCAGGUGCGGUGUAUGGUGUCGAUGGUUAGCGUCGUGAGAUGUUGGGUUAAGUCCAUGGGCGAACCCUUGUCAUUAGUUGCUACGAAGGACGCUCUAAUGGUUCGCAGGUGAUGGAAGCCGGAGGAAGGUGGGGAUGACGUCAAGUCCUCAUGACCCUUAUAGGACAGGCCACACGUCAUACAAUGGUCGGGACAGAGGGUCGCCAACCCGCGAGGGGAGCCAAUCCCAGAAACCCGAUCGUAGUCCCGGAUCACCAGUCUGCAACCUCGACUGCGUGAAGUCGAAUCGCUAGUAAUCGCGGAUCAGCAUGUCGCGGUGAAUACGGUCUAUGGAUCUUGUGUAUUAUUCAUGUAAUCAUUUACCCUUUCCAUAGAAGUGCGGUUUUACCAGAAGUAGGCAACCCCUAACCGUAAGGAGGGCGAUUACCACAGUUGGGAUUCAUGACUGGGGUGAA
rnacentral:rRNA from 1 species